UAAUUGCAAAUUACUCAGAGCUUGGAUUGUCUCCUCCAGUUUGUUAAAGGAAAGCUACCGGGAAGGCAGAUUUGUUGACGAGUUGCCUUACAUACUAAAUGAUGAUGACUACAUAUCGAAGUAUCGAGCCAGCCUAAAAGUUGUAGUUCUCAGGGCAAAAGCAUGUUCUUGAGCUUUAUUUGAAGGGUAUGAUGUUUGCAUAUCAGCUCACGCUCAACCACCACCUAAAACUCUAUCCCUGAUAGUCAAGUCAGCCGGUGGAAAUGUGAUUCAUGAGCUAGAUAAAGUAAACAACGUAUGGAAGACGAGCUUUGUGGCUUGUGAGGAAGACGUGGAGGAAGCCUUGGUGGCGUAGAAAAAGGGAUAUGG